GGGCCUACAGCAUCCGUAGCUGGCUGAGCAAGUCCCCCGUUAAAUCCAGCGAAUUAAUCGUUGGGCUGCGGAGGAUACUGUUCGGCUUGGGGACGGGAGAGGCCGACGGUACUCUCGGGGUAGGGGUGAAAUCCUAUAAUCCCGGGAAGACCACCAGUGGCGAAGGCUGUCGGCUAGAACGGGCCCGACGGUGAGGGAUGAAAGCUGGGGGAGCGAACCGGAUUAGAUACCCGGGUAGUCCCAGCUGUAAACGAUGCAGGCUAGGUGUUCGGGCGGCCACGAGCCGCUCGAGUGCCGCAGGGAAGCUGUUAAGCCUGCCGCCUGGGGAGUACGGCCGCAAGGCUGAAACUUAAAGGAAUUGGCGGGGGAGCACCACAAGGGGUGAAGCUUGCGGUUUAAUUGGAGUCAACGCCGGAAAUCUCACCGGGGGCGACAGCAGAAUGAAGGCAGAUUAAAGGUCUUGCCAGACAAGCUGAGAGGAGGUGCAUGGCCGUCGCCAGUUCGUGCCGUGAGGUGUCCUGUUAAGUCAGGCAACGAUCGAGACCCGCAUCCCCCGUUGCUAUUGGCCUUGUGUCAAGCACACUGGGGAGACCGCCGCCGAUAAGGCGGAGGAAGGAGCGGGCCACGGCAGGUCAGUAUGCCCCGAAUCUCCCGGGCCACACGCGAGCUGCAAUGGCAGGUACAAUGGGUUCCGACCUCGAAAGGGGAAGGUAAUCCUGAAAGCUUGCCGUAGUUGGGAUCGAGGGUUGUAACUCACCCUCGU
rnacentral:rRNA from 1 species